UGUCAUUAUGGGGUAUUGAGUGUAGACAGAUGAGGGGAAAAAGAGGACUUAAACAAUUUUAGAAUAAGGCUACAACAUCACCAACAAAAUGUAAAAAAGUGAACGGGUCUGAAUACUUUCUGAAUGCACUGUAUAUAUAGUACAUUUCUACUAUGUGUUCAUACAUCCCACUAUUUAUAUUGAGCAUCGUGGGGACACAAAUUUCCCACAUGAUGAAAGAAGUUCAAUCUUAUCUUAAGUCACCUUACUUAGAAAUAUGCAGCAUGUAAAUUUUGAUAAGCCAGGACCUCUACCAGAGAGGGAGAAAAGACAAGUAAUAAUGCAGAAGCUAUGCUUACCGUUUGAGAUGAUACUGUGCUUAAGUGAUAUAUAUUCUCAAAUUAAAAAUGCAAUUAAUCAAAUCACUGGUGCAAAAAAACCCUGAUAUUUUUUGACAUAGGUGUUACUUCAGCAUUGUUUGGGGGCCAACAGACCCCACUGAUGUAUGUGUUAAAAUAAUAAUGCUAACUAAAACAUCUUCUAACCUCAUUAAAACCCAAAAUUUAGAAAAAUAAAGUAUAUACCCCCUUUCUGUGACACAAACUGGGCUGUCACAUUUGAUUAAAGUGAUAAAAGGAUUGAUCACUGUGAUUGUCAUUACACCAAAUACGGAAAUAUUUCAUAUUUUAUUGUAUGCAUGAUCAUUUUGGGAGAAUGUACUUUGUGGUGCUGUUGAACUGUACUGUGUCACAUUAACAGGUGUUUCUAUUAUUUUGUCUACCCCACCGAUAUUAAUUAUGGUAGGGGAUGGCUCUACACUCGCAAUAUCAACGACGCCAAGUAUAGCAAACCAAAAAUUCGCAUGGCCUACACUACACUUCAUUACUACAGCACAGUAAAGCAUUUUGUCUUCAUUACGGGUAAAAAGCCUGUAACGACUAUCACCGUGGAACUUUUAGUACAAUUACUAUUCAUAGGCUGUAAGGUCAAGUACCAUCUUAGAAAAGUUCAUUUUGGAAACAUCUACUGGUCAGGUUGGACACAGUGUAGGUCAAAGAGAAGAGGAUGAAUCAAAAGUUCUCCAUCCGACAACCAACAAGAUCCUCUGCCACACGGAGAGGAAGAAAGUCCCUGAGUGUUUUACAAAGAUUGGAGUGGGCUGAGACUAGUGUGGACUUAGAGAUGGUCACCACCUUCCUUGAAAAGGUCAAGAUAGGCAUUUGUUUUUCCAUUCCAUUAGCUAUACCCCUUAUCCUUUUGCGGGUCACGGGGGUGGGUGGAGCCAAUCCCAGCUGACAUUGGGAAAGAGGCGGGGUACACCCUGGACAGGUCAAAACUCUAUCACAGGACUGACUUGUGAUAGACACCUACGGGCAAUUUAGAGUUGCCAAUUAACCUAACCUGCAUGUCUUUUUGACUGUGGGAGAAGUGGGAGGAGAACAUACAGGUCCACACUGAAAGGCCCUGUGAGGCAACAAUGCUAACAACUGCAACACCUUGCCAUCCAUCCUUUGUUCUUGUUGAAUAUUAUUUUGAAUAUAUAACAGUUCCUGCUACUUUCACUGAUAAAGUGUAAUUGAUGCAAUUACAAAACAGGAAAACGAACUGGGAGAGUAGUGUUUGCUAUGAUUCCCAAAGCUGGCAGAACUUUACAGAAGUGAAGUUUAGAUAUCCCAAGUAACGUUUUGAAAAUUUUGUUUCAUGUGAACAGAAUUACAACAUAUUGUUUUGUAUACUUUAAUUUGGGGAGAUAUUUGUUUAUUCUGCAGGAUCCCCAUUAGCUUCUGAAAUGGCCACAUAUUAAAAUGUCCAAAUAAAACAUUAAUACAAUAAAAUAUAAAUCGGAUAAAAUGUGUUUGGUGAAUUUCUCAGUGCAAUUAGACAUUAAUCACCAAAGAAAUAUAUCCUAUAUUGUGUUUAAAGGUUUUGAACCACAAUUUUAAUCAUGAUUUACAUAACUAACAGUGUAACAAGUGUUGGAAGCCAAGGUUUAAAACAGAAAUUGUUAAUUUCAGUGGCUAUAAUGACAACUCCUGCAGACAAAUUUUUGCUGUAGUAGUUUUCUGUUAAUACUGUGAGUCGGCAGACCAACAACUGCAUUAUUUUAUGUGAUUUUAUUAAUAUAGAAACAAACAAGUUUGUGACCAUGUUGUUAAAAACAGUAGGUGAACCCAUACACAGGACACAGACUCAGAGCUCAAAUGCCCAACAGAAAGUUUAUUACCUUAUCUCGGGAAAAAAAGGUUGAAGGGGAAUGAGGGUUCUGGUAAUAGGAUGCAGGGAGUGGGGGGAGCAGGCGCCCAGCAGGGAACAGUUGAGUGGGGAAUGGAGAAAGGGUAGUGAGUGGGGCUGGAUGACUGACUUGGCAAGCUGGGGAAUGAGCUGGGGAAUGGGCAGGCAGUUGAGCUGAGAGAGGAGUGAAGGCGAGGUGGAGAACGGGGCUAGAUAUCUGGCUGGCAGGGUAAUGAGCAUGGAAGCAAGCAGGUGAGAUGGUGGGUUAUGGAGGAUAGAGACUGUUGAAGCAAAGCUGGUUUGUUGAUAGCAUGGCAGGCAGAUAUGUGAGCGGGCAAGCUGGCAGGCAUGCAGUGAUCCUGAGUGCAAGGAUACAAUAACUAGCACAGAGCAAAACACGGAGGGAAUAACUUAGAACGUACCUAAGCAGCCAAACUGACAAACACAGUUGAAUUAAUAGAAAAUAUCACAACUUGAAUUGUAAUAUUUGUCAAAUUAAAUUGCAAUUCGAUAUUUGUUUUCAUAGAAUUUAAAAAAUGUGGUGUAAGUGUCUAGGCACAAUAACAGAGUGUUGGCCAAGAUAUCCUUGCCUGCUUUUAAAGGAUAGGUUUACUUUACUUGUUGUCAAAAAAUCCCAUUAAAAAACAAAAAACAAAAUGUGUUAAUCCAUGUCUCAGUACUUUCUGACUGAAAUAAUUUAUUUUUUAAAAAUGGCUCAGUAAUUUACUAAAACAGCUGGUUACUGUACUUUUAAUCAAACAUACUGGAGGAAAUAAUGCAUUGCUCACUGACAUUGUUUUCGGACAACAAUGGAGUUCUAAUGCAAUUAAUAUUACACUCCAGUUUGGUAUUUACAGAGAGAUAAAAGUGUUCGAAAAAGAUUCCUGAUUUGGCUGGAUUAAUUAACUAAGACUGCUACAGGAAGAAGACUUCAGAGACAUAGAGGAGACAGCUGGAGGAUGGCAACCAGUAAGAUCACCCUAUAAACACUGAAAACAGCCUUUAUCACUUUAUUUCUUCAAUUCUUUAUUGUCUCCCCAUUGGUGCUGUGAUGUUUUAAACAUGCUAAUCUUCUCUUCUGCUCUCUUCUCUUCUGCUGUAGCAAAUUUAGAGUGGCAGAAACGAGGCAAUAUGGCUCUGAACAUUUGGAUGUUUUCUGGGAGGAAAAGCACAAAAAAAGCACUAAGAAUUAAAGAGGGAGAACUCUUUGAAAAAUGAUCAGCUGAACACACCAGGUUGCCAUGUCUGUGUGAAAAAACCCAGCACAAUGGCUAAUCAAAACCAGCCCAAAAACCAGCCCAAUACCAGAACUCAAAAUAUGCCUUUUCCAAACCAUAUACACAAUUUUUAAAGUCCAACAGCAUUAUUAUCAUCGCCAAAUGACUGUAAUAUCUAUAAAGUAACACCAUAAAUGUUGUGUGCCAGCAUUAAAAGCAUUUUUCCUAAACAGUUCUUUCACCUAGGUCCUAAAAUGGCCUUGUGUAAUUAGAUACCCGGACCUGGCAAUCUUGGUUGUCUUGCUUUCUUUCUCUAGCAGAGUUGGGAUCGAGAGGCUGGUGCCAGGCAGCGGAGAGCAUGACAGCACAUUGUUGCCAGAGAGUUCUUCCACUGAACCAACCCUCUCCACCAACUUUGCCCCUGCCUGCCUCCAGCCCAGUGGACACAGAAAGAUGAGAAGACUGAAUAUUAUGUGUCCUCGUCAGCAAACAGAGUGACGUGAGGAUCAGAGAGCCAGUGGCAUGAAUCUGGCCAGGUGGAUGCAAGAGACAAGAGCCAUGUUUGACAUUUAAAUAUCCCUCUUCCUGUUUUACUUUGACUCUUCAGAUUCCCUCUGCUUUCUGGAUUUGUCAUUGCCUUGUUUUAGUGGAGUUUUAGUAACUUGUGGAGCAAUAAUUUAUUUUCGCAUUUUAAUUAUCCCUCGGAACUAUUGUAACUAAUCUCUGCAACAGCCUUUGUAAU